UACGUAGGGUGCAAGCGUUGCUCGGAAUCACUGGGCGUAAAGGGUGCGUAGGCGGCCGUGCAAGUCUGGCGUGAAAGCCCCGGGCUCAGCCCGGGAAGUGCGCUCGAAACUGCGCGGCUCGAGUGCCGGAGGGGAGAGUGGAAUUCCAGGUGUAGCGGUGAAAUGCGUAGAUAUCUGGAGGAACACCGGUGGCGAAGGCGGCAUCCUGGACCAAUUCUGACGCUGAGGAGCGAAAGCCAGGGGAGCAAACGGG
rnacentral:rRNA from 1 species